CCUUUGGAGCUGGUUCACAGGUGGUGCAUGGUUGUCGUCAGCUCGUGUCGUGAGAUGUUGGGUUAAGUCCCGCAACGAGCGCAACCCUCGUUCCUUGUUGCCAGCACGUAAUGGUGGGGACUCAUGGGAGACUGCCGGGGUCAACUGGAGGAAGGGGGGGACGACGUCAAAUCAUCAUGCCCCUUAUGUCUUGGGCUUCACGCAUGCUACAAUGGGCGGUACAAUGGGUUGCGACCCUGUGAGGUGGAGCUAAUCCCAAAAAGCCGGUCUCAGUUCGGAUUGGGGUCUGCAACUCGACCCCAUGAAGUCGGAGUCGCUAGUAAUCGCAGAUCAACAACGCUGCGGUG
rnacentral:rRNA from 1 species